AACGAACGCUGGCGGCAUGCCUAACACAUGCAAGUCGAACGAACCCUUCGGGUCUUGUGGUGCAUGGGUGCGUAACGCGUGGGAACAUGCCCUUAGGUUCGGCAUAACUAUCAGACAGGGGUGACAAUACCGGAUAAUGUCUUCGGCCCAAAGAUUUAUUGCCCUUGGUUGGGCCCGCGUUGGAUUAGCUAGUUGGUAGGGUUAAAGCCUACUAGGGCGUGGAUCCGUAACUGGUCAGAGAGGAAGGUCAGCAACACUGGGACUGAGACACGGCCCAGACUCCUACGCGAGGCAGCAGUGGGGAAUAUUGGACAGUGGGCGAAAGCCUGAUGCAGCAAGGCCGCGUGAGUUAUGAAGUCCGGAGGGUUGUAAAGCGCUUUUACCCGGGAUGAUAAUGACAGUACCGGGAGAAUAAGCCCCGGCUAACUCCGUG
rnacentral:rRNA from 1 species